rnacentral:rRNA from 1 species
UACGAAGGGGGCUAGCGUUGCUCGGAAUUGCUGGGCGUAAAGGGCGCGUAGGCGGGUAGUCUAGUCAGAGGUAAAAGCCCAGGGCUCAACCUUGGAACUGCCUUUGAUACUGGCUAUCUUGAGUUCGGGAGAGGUGAGUGGAAUGCCGAGUGUAGAGGUGAAAUUCGUAGAUAUUCGGCGGAACACCAGUGGCGAAGGCGACUCACUGGCCCGAUACUGACGCUGAGGUGCGAAAGCGUGGGGAGCAAACAGG